CCAAGGGGCGGUUGGCGAGAGUGGCGGGGGAGUGGGGUUAUCGCGUCCCCUCCGCGGCACAUGGCACCGUCCGCGGGGGGACCCUCUGGCCCCUCACAUAACGCCUGACAGCCCCGCCGGCCCCUCACACAGCCCCACAGACCCCUCACACAGCCCUGCAGGCACUGCGGAGGGGUUUGGCCGGGGAACGGUGGUUUGGCGUGGAGCGGGAGGGCUGUUUUCCUGCCCAGCCGAGUGCCUCGCUGCCUGGGUGUAGCAUUUGUGGUCGCCGGCUCAUUGUCCACAUGGAGACCAGUGACGAGUCGUGUCCCUCAGGGGCUUUCACCAGUGAAUUUCACAGUCUUCAUUCAUUGAAAUACUAAGAAUGCAUUUUUUAAUACCUGGAAGGUAUAAUCGGAGACUCUAGGGUCCAUUAUCAGCAAUGCAAGGACACAGAUUUUAUCUGGUAGUUGGACAAAAGUAGCAAGACUUUGCUCAACCUUGCUCACCUUAUACUUGACUAGCUGCAACCUAAGGAUCUCCUUGGGAACUGCAGCUGGCAUCCUUGUUCACUGCCAGAGUAUGUGGUAGCUCUUUCACUUGGUACUCUCAGGCACUCUCUUCACAUCAUCUGAAAAAAUUUGUUCUCGGAUUAACAUGAUUGUGUGUCCAAGGCCUAAUUGUCAUUCUGGAGUGAUGAACGACACAGCUUCAGGGAAAAAAGUUCUGGAGUAUGGACCAUAGUAUACUACAUAUGAUGUAAAGAACUAUUAUCAUCUCCCUCACCUGCUUGCCUGUCUUAUAAUUAAAAAAAAAUAAUUAUAUGUAUCUGGAAGAAAUAAUUAAAAUGGAGAUAAUAUUUAUUGCCAUUCCUGGUGAUACUGGCAUGACAUAUUAGGGUGUUUAUGUAUCUUUCAAAAAAUGGUUUGUGGUUCUUUUAUGUCAGAUAAGUGAUGAGGCAGGUGUGAUUCCUAGGCAAAACAGACCCCUGCAAAUUGAAUCACAGUACCAAGGUAAGACUGUCAUUGUGCAAGCCUCUUCUGCCCUGAAGCUAAUGUGUACAAUCUGUUUUUGGAAGUGCUUUCAUAUUUUUGUUAUUUAUUAUAAACAUAUACAGCACGUAAGUGUUUUUAUUAUUGGCUGACUUUGGUAUUUUGUAGUCACGAUUGUGGUAUUUAAACAGGAGAUGAUCUGUUCUGCACAUGGAAAAGGGGCUGUGUUAUGGAGGAAAUAAUUAAAAAAACUGUUGCAAUUUUUUGGCAAGAGGGUGUUAUGAUUAUAUCUCAAAGAAUAUACCCGAUGUUCAUUAUGUUCAUGUACAAACCCAUGGCGAUUUGUAUCUGAUUUCUAACCUGUACCUAGGGAGCAUUGUCUUUGUGUUAGAAAUGCAAGUAUGCUAUUAAUUUGUAAAGUUCUUACAUGUAUAUAGUCUCAUCUAUUUCUUUUUUAGCAGAUGUAUAAUAUUACUUCCCAAUUUCACCCUAAGAGCUAUGAUUACUUAGAUUAAAUGAGGAAUGUCACUUUAAUAGCAACUUUUGUAAAUAAUGGAGAUCUUUUUAUAAAACUUCAUCAUAUUAACUUUAUAUUAAUAUCCAAAAUGCAUUUGGUAUGAUAAAACAGCACAUUGCCAUUGGUUAAGAAAAUUCCUUUCAAAGAAUUUGCCUGGCAGUGAUUUUUAGAACACAUUUCAAGACGUUCUGAAAAUCUUGAAAUCAAGCAUGACAUUAUUGUGUUAUAAAAAUGUGGUUGGUGAGGGACACAUAGUUAUUUUCAGUUUCCAGAUGAAGCAGAGAUGAUAAUUUAUCUCCAGUCACUGCUAGAAAAAGUUUUUAGACACUUACAGACUGCGGGCUUUUUUUUUCUUCUCCUGCUGCACCAUUGUUGUACAGAGAGAUUAUUUUUACAGGAGACAUUGUGUCCAGGAUAUACAUAUCUAGCUGAAAGUUGUCUCAAGGUAGGAAAACUCCUGAAACAUUCAUCCCUCAAAUCUCAGGGAUAUGAUUUCCAGGCAAAUGCUCAGCUUUAGAAAUUGUGCAUCACAGCACCGUGCAUGUAUAUAUUGGAACAUGAAAUGCCAAGUAUAAUGCCAGGUUUUCUGAAGCAGAUCUAUCUUUUAGUUAAAGUAUUCUUGCACUAAAUUGGUGAUUAAUAAGUAAUGUUCUAGCUGAACAAAGUCUCAGUUCAGAAGGGUGCAGUUGCUGCUCUGUGUUUAGACAUUGUCCAGCUAGGGGCCUCAAUGCAGUGCAAGAAUUCCAAAGGCAACUCUUCGAACUGAAAAAUAAAAAGAAUAUGAAGGAAGCUGGCAACAAGUUUAUAACAGCUAAUGCUCUUAUAAACAUAUUUUGAACAAUGCUAGUGUAUUGAAUUUAGGGGAUGAGUGGGCUAGAGCCACAGUGUAUUGCUUUAUAUUGGUAUUUUUUUUUCUUAUAUGGGUCUUUAGCAUUUUUUUCCCUCCAUAUGGUUACCAAGGAAUGCAAAGCAAGCUGUCACUGUGUGUAAGAUGCAAGCAAGAUCUAAGAGCUCUAGAGCAGUUGAGAACAUGGAUACAGCAUCUUGGGUGUCAGGAUGACACUAUGCUGGCAGAGGAUCUGUAAGGGACAGAGGCUUCCAUUUCCUGCUGUCAUUUUGUCAGGAUCCAGGUCAGCUGUGUUAUACAGAGAGAAAGUGUUGUCUUCAACAUGGGAAUAUGUCUCUAUAGCACCUCAGGUUGAGGGGGGUCACUACCUUGGAGUACAGGACACGUUAUGGGUUACAGGGGAAGAGCAUUUUGAGAUUGUGCAAAACUUAUCACAGGAUGUUUAGGGAAGGAACAACAAGCAGGGAAAGGGAGUGAUAGAGGUUGUUUGGGGAAAAAGAUCUUGAGGAAAAUAGAGAGAUAAGGGGCUAAAAGGGGGCAGUUGCGUGUAAACAGAUGGCUUUUCUGGCCAUGCCCUCUACUGGGUCAUCAGAAUCUGUCCUGUCCUCUCAUUAAACUCCAUUUUUAAGUUCCUGCGUGCAGGGCUCUUUUCUGUAUUUAUGUAAGUUUGAGAGGCCAGCUGCUGGCAUGGGACCAUGGGAUCACAGGGGCCCCUGCUAUGUUGCUAAUAACUGGAGUGGGUGAGAGUAUAUAAGAGAGAGUGUAAUGGCUCCUGAACUGGUGAUCAAUGUGGAUUUGCAAAGUAGUUGAAGUGACCUGGGAGCCAGCUGUGUGCAUGUGUCUCUGUAAAUGAGACAACUGGCAGGUACAGAGUAGGAGAAAACCAGAUCCUUUUAUGUCUGGAAUGCUUAGCACCCAUUUUCUAUAUCUUUCUAUAAAAUAGACCUCUGUUCUGCAUCCAGUUCACUUGCUGUAAUUGUUUACUUAGGAAAUCUCUGGAUUGAGAGUGUCUGUUAGGCAAACAGGCAUGUGAAUUGUAACUAGGCAGUCUGGAGGAGAAGAGGAAGUACUGACUGCUUUCUUUCCCAGGCUCCUGAGGAAAACCCCCUUGUAUGAAAUAUGUACUACCUAUUGUCAUGUCUUGCAUAUAAGAAGUCUUCAGAGUGUACCUCAAAGAUUUCUUCAGGGUUCUGUCACACCAAAUAUCACCAUUUCCACAUGAUUAAUUACUGCCAAGGACAGUCUCAAGCAAGAGCCGGUAAUACAUGGAUAUCUUUGCAUACACAAAGUGUGGCAAAGCAUAUAGGCAGAUGUGUAUGCUUGUAUGUAAUACAAGUUUCAAUGUAUGGUAUGGCUUCAUGAUGAGAUAUGAAUAGUCCCUUACCAAGUGUGAGGCAAUAUUUUGCCUUAGUGUGGACUAAUGAUUUUUUUAACAUUUAGUGAAGGCUGAGGAGUGGCCCUUUUUAACAGGUGCUGCUUGCAGGAAGGAGAGGGAUGAUUGCAUGUGGCCCCAAUAGGCAUACCAGAUGUUUGAAGAGGUGAAAGCAAUGAAGAUUUGAGAAGAGUGGGUAUUGAUGUUGUCUCCUGAAUAAAUUAAGAAUCAAUAAGUGCCUUACUGGGGAGCAGGAAUCAAGGUGGAAGUGAGAAGGACAAAACAAAGGAGGCUGUAGAAGUGAGGAUUAAUCCAAACAGAUGUUAAUGCAGCGAGGAAGUACCUGCUCCCUGGCUGAGAUCUUUAAAUUUGCUUCCACAGGAUAUGGUGGAUUUGCAUAAGGACAGCAUUCUGAGCUCCAUGGUCAAGAGGUACUGGCUGGACAUAAUAGAGUAUAGGAAGCUCUCUGCAUGCGAUUUGAUAAGUAAAUACAAACAUAGUCAUCUU